AAGGCCUUAGCUUAAUUAAAGUAGUUGAGUUGCAUUCAGAAGAUAUGGGUGAGAGACCCGUAGGUCUUA
rnacentral:tRNA from 1 species